CAGUCGCCGCGGGAAAACGAAGGGGGCUAGCGUUGUUCGGAUUUACUGGGCGUAAAGCGCACGUAGGCGGAUUGGUAAGUUAGGGGUGAAAUCCUGGAGCUCAACUCCAGAACUGCCUUUAAUACUGCCAGUCUCGAGUCCGGAAGAGGUAAGUGGAACUCCUAGUGUAGAGGUGGAAUUCGUAGAUAUUAGGAAGAACACCAGUGGCGAAGGCGGCUUACUGGUCCGGUACUGACGCUGAGGUGCGAAAGCGUGGGGAGCAAACAGGAUUAGAUACCCAGUAGUCCCUGUCUCUUAUACA
rnacentral:rRNA from 1 species